UGGGCAACAAAAGGAAAAACACUCCGUCUCAAAAAAGAAAAAAAAAGAAAAAGAAACAUACAUGAUGCAAAAGAUGCUAUUUUGACUGAUGAAAGUCUUCUCUCUUCACAUCUGUUUUCUUCAUCUCCAGCCGUUUGCGCAUGCUUGUCAUUGAUAAUGGGCUUGUGGCUUCUCUCUGAAGUUUCUGUUGCACUGUUCUAGUUAAUGGAGAUGAAGAGGUGGACCAAACAGAAACACAUUCCGGCAUGACAGAAUUCAUAUUCUAAUGGGGGCAGCAGAAUAAAAACAGAGAUGAUGAUAAUGUCAUGUCAUGAUUGGUGCCAUGAAAAAAUUAAAACAAGAAAAAAUGAUGGUGAUGGGCAAAGAUGCUAGUUUUGUUUUUUUUUAAAUUGGGGGUGGGUUCAGGAAAGAUGAUUGCAUUUAAGCAGGGAAGUAAAGGAAGUGAGAACACAAGUUUUGUAAGUGUCUGGAGGAAGAACGUCCCAGGCAGAAUCAAGAGCAAGACGAGCACUGCAAUGUGAGAAUAGUGAAAUAGUAGUCCAGAGAGGUCAGCAAAGACAAUGUUUCGUGUCAGGGGCCACAGUCAGUGCUCUGAGCAUGAUGAAGAACUCUUGGGGGAUUUAAAGCAGGAAAGUGAUGUGUUUUCAUGGGUUCAUUUUUUUGUUUAUCUCUAAGUCAUGUGGUCAGCAAGACCCAGAACCAGGACUAAAAUUGAAGCCUUCUGACUCCUGAUACAGUGCUCCUCCCAUUCAGGUCCGUGGUUGGUCAUUCUCUAGACCUGAAUGUCCUUGGCAUCCUGUUUUUCCUGUUCCUUGCAUGGUUAUUUGUGGUCUGCUAAUCAAAUCUUAUAACAGCUGUUGCCUGUUCCCAAGCCCAAGCAUUUGGCUCCUUGGGACUUCCCUUUGCCAUUUGCCCAGCCAAUCAGCUUUAACAUUCUCCCGUUUCUGUGAGCAUCGGGUCCUCUUAGAGCUAUCCAACAAAACUCUUCACCCACAAACUAGCUCAACUACAGUUUAAGCUUGAUCAUGAAAAUCAAGUGAGGAUUUAGGGAAUUUAAAAAUAGCCACUCUAUCAGCCACUCUAAACACUCUAAUCAGAAAGUUCAACUUUACAGCUUGCCAAGUAUCUUCAUAAUGUGAAGGAUUUUUUUCAAAACUCAAGACCAAGUGAAAUUUUCUCCCAGACUAUGGGAAUAAAGAGAUUGUUGAACCGGUGGUUCACUGUACUGACUGUCUUAUCCAUACCAAUGUGGAAUCAGGCAGGAGUUGCAAUGAGAUACUGCAAUUGCAUUUUCCUUCACCAUCACUAUUUUUUGUUUCUAAAAUCUCAGAUUUCUCUGCUUCAAAUCCAAAGCUGCCUUGUUUUUUCAGCCAAGCCUGCGAAGACAAACUCAGCUUGUUUGGAGAAUUACAAUAGGGGCUGUCUUGGCUGCUUUUCAGUGUCAACACCCGCAAUAAGAGUGUUUACCACCCUGUAGAGUAAGGAGCAAAACAGAAGUAUUCCGCUCUCCCAGACCUGCACUGGCAUUGCAUUACUGACGGAGGUAACCAUUUGUCUUUUGUCACUGGAGCAGGUGAGCAUGGCACCAGGCACACAUGUGCAGAGGAAGUGUGUGGAUAGAUAGUCACUUGUUUGGCUAUAUCCACAGCUUAAAUUUGGUGUCCUCUGGAAAUGUAAUAUUUCAAAGGCAGGAUGAUAUUUCUGUUCACUUAUUAAGGGAUGACUAACUUGCUUUUGGCUGCACUACAAAUGAAUCACGGUAACAAUCCCUAACUUGCGACUUCUGGUGUUCUGAUGUAAUGCAUUUCUAUUAAAAGAAGAGGAAAGAGAGUGGGUGAGAGUGAGAUCAUGCAAAGACAGAACAUAACACCAAGGGAGCUAGCGUAAUUUAUGAACUGCAGCAGACAGAUCCAUCCACUUCAAGGUGUUUUUUUGCGUCCUGAGUGAGGAUACCUUGCCAGUUAGCACCUACCCAUUUACAGUUGCAGAAUAUAGACCCAGAUCAAGACAUGUAGUUUGGAGGGAUUCGGUGAAGGGAACAUUUCAUUUAGGGGUGAAAAACAGAUAUUCCUUGAAAGCAUUUUUAAGCACUUUUGAUUUAGUGUCACUUGGAAGGUAAUAUUUGGGGACGGAUGAUGUAUGUUAAGAAGUCAAAUCAUAAUCUUCCUUUUUACAUUUUUUAAUGUAUGCAGCUUAUUUGGGAGUAGAAGAAGUGGGAAGGGGGUGGAAACGUGAGACAAGGAAGGGAAGGCAGCCUAUAAAGGGGGCAUCAUCAGGCUAACUCCCACUGGAGGUAACUGGAGCUCCAUCCUGCUGGGACAUGGGGAACCCAUACGAAGUCCGAGUCUUCCCUCACAGAUGAGAUUGCUUGGAGACUGCUUGAGGCUGCUCCCAGAGCGUGUUAAUUGCCCUGCAUGGGCAGAGUGGCCUUCCUGCCUUCCCUCUUCCCUUUUCAACAAGAAACAAAUACAAAAAAAAAAAAAAA